rnacentral:tRNA from 1 species
CUGCUUGUAGCGUAGCUGGAUAACGCAUGCGACUCCGACUCGCAAGAUCGUAGGUUCGAAUCCUAUCAAGCAGGCCA